rnacentral:lncRNA from 1 species
UAGAUCCAGCUGAUGGGUGUGUUUAAUAAGUUUGCAGCUCGGUGAUCCUAGUCGUAUUGCAGCUGCUAGUUAGUUAAUCAUCUGCUCCAACGAGCUAUUGUCGUGUCGUGUCGUCGAUUUGCUGUUCAAUUAGUAGGUGCGUGGUGAAUGUGUGACUAGAGAUGUUUCAUUGUCGUGCAAUGAACUGCAUGUCGUCAGCUCUGUGUCCGUCCUUGGUGUGUUGUGUGUGUUCUAGUUUGAAUCUACUUUAAAAUUUGGCUGGGUCAUGGAACUGCUGUUUUUUUUUUUUUGCUUGCUAUCUAUCGAAAGAUUCAAUGUGCAUCCACGCUAAGGGGAGAAACAUUCGUGCAUGGCCGCACAUGCCCUCACUCUCCUCGUGAUGGAUGAAUCUAAAUGAUGUAAAAUGUGAUCUAGGAAGAGGAACAAACAGAGGUUGUCAAUGUGAAGCCCAAGAGAGAGCUGAGAUAAAUCUAAAUGAUGUAAACAUUCGUGCAUGGCCGCACAUGCCCUCCCUUUCCUCGUGUGGAACCAAGAUUAAUAUCUCCGGCAGCGAGAACUGAGAACUAUGCACAAGACAGAAUCAUCAGCCGCUGUCUAUUUUUAGAAGUGCAUGACUCUGAUGAAAGAGACUAGACAGUGUAUGCUAUAGUCAAUGCGACAGCAUGUUAUACGUAACACCCUAUGGCUCGACCUCUUUUGAUACCAUAUAAAAAUGUGUUUUAUAAUCAAUGCAACCAAAAAAUCGAUCUGAUGAAAGAAAGCACAUUAUAUAUCAAUAAUUUUUAAUGUUUUAAAGCAUCUUCAACUCAGCUGGGUUAAUCUGGCCUCUUAUUUGUUCCUAGAUCAAUGUAUGAAGAUUUGAAGGCCUCGACUGGAGACGCUCUUAGCUCAUAAUAAGGACGUAUUUUACUGCAAGCGGCAGCAGCCCCGUCGCACCGUGAAACCAGCGGCGGCCGCCGCCGCCGUUCGUCGUUGUCUCUUGCCGGAAGGAAGAAGCAGGGUGGGUAGAUUCCAUGCAAAUCCCGGCCCCGACCGGGCCCCUACACAGUCACCAUCCUUAUCUCACGACAUCGAGAACCGGGCAAAGCAACGGCAGGGAAACCGGGAAAGCGGAAAACGUGGCAGAGACGGAAGGCGCAUCGAUCGAUUACUGACAGGUGCACGCGUGUACCUACACUGCACCUGUACCUGCGCUUUCGUGCCCGGUUAACGCUUCCUCCCAUGAAAGCUUUGGGAUAAAUAGUUGUAUUUCAGAGCGCUUUAGGGUAAUCAUCUGCAGAUUACGGUGUAGACAUCCUUCGAGCUCGAGCACGCAUGGACCAGUGAAGCAUGCACGUGAAGCACUGCCACCACUGCACAAUCUUUUAGCAUGGGCAGCACGAGUACACCCGCAAAAAAAAAA